GGCUGUUUUGCGGUUUUGCUGACCCUUACGAGGCGGAGGUCCGGGGUUCGAAUCCCCGCGGGCCCACCA
rnacentral:tRNA from 1 species